GCCUAGGUGGCUCAGUUGAUGGAGCGUCUGACUUCAGCUCAGGUCAUGAUCUCAUAGUUCGUGGGUUCAAGCCCCAAGUUGGGCU
rnacentral:tRNA from 1 species